GGGAUCCUCUCAGUUUACCCUGUAGGUAUCCUCUCAGUUUACCCUGUAGGUAUCCUCUCAGUUUACCCUGUAGUUAUCCUCUCAGUUUACCCUGUAGUUAUCCUCUCAGUUUACCCUGUAGGUAUCCUCUCAGUUUACCCUGUAGGUAUCCUCUCAGUUUACCCUGUAGUUAUCCUCUCAGUUUACCCUGUAGGUAUCCUCUCAGUUUACCCUGUAGGUAUCCAUCAGUUUACCCUGUAGGUAUCCAUCAGUUUACCCUGUAGGUAUCCUCUCAGUUUACCCUGUAGGGAUCCUCUCAGUUUACCCUGUAGGGAUCCUCUCAGUUUACCCUGUAGGUAUCCUCUCAGUUUACCCUGUAGGUAUCCAUCAGUUUACCCUGUAGGUAUCCAUCAGUUUACCCUGUAGGUAUCCAUCAGUUUACCCUGUAGGGAUCCUCUCAGUUUACCCUGUAGGUAUCCUCUCAGUUUACCCUGUAGGUAUCCUCUCAGUGUACCCUGUAUCUUGUCACCUAAAUCCUCACACUGACCCAAUGUGACACCUACAGUACCUGUGUCAGAGACUCACCUCUUUCUGCAUCGUUGGAAGAUAACUCUAUUUGAAAACUGAGUUGGAUUAGAGCUACGGCUUUACGCUACUGGAGUGGAGUUGGAUUAGAGCUACGGCUUUACGCUACUGGAGUGGAUUUGGAUUAGUGCUACAGCGUUACGCUACUGGAGUUGAGUUGGAUUAGAGCUAUGGCCUUACGCUACUGGAGUUGAGUUGGAUUAGAGCUACGGCUUUACGCUACUGGAGUGGAUUUGGAUUAGUGCUACAGCGUUACGCUACUGGAGUUGAGUUGGAUUAGAGCUAUGGCCUUACGCUACUGGAGUUGAGUUGGAUUAGAGCUACGGCCUUACGCUACUGGAGUGGAUUUGGAUUAGUGCUACAGCGUUACACUACUGGAGUUGAGUUGGAUUAGUGCUACAGCGUUACGCUACUGGAGUUGAGUUGGAUUAGAACUACGGCGUUACGCUACUGGAGUUGAGUUGGAUUAGAGCUACGGUGUUACGCUACUGGAGUUGAGUUGGAUUAGAGCUACGGCUUGACGCUACUGGAGUUGAGUUGGAUUAGAGCUACGGCGUUACGCUACUGGAGUUGCAUUGUACGGUACUUAAUGUGCGUGCAUGGUGUGCCAAUCCAAUGUUCUAAACCUGAUAUUUGAAAAUAAGACAUUUUAGAAAUGAAUUGAAAUGAUUCAUUUUAAUGAUUAAGUAUAGAGUGCGUUGAAGUUUCUACUUUAUCCAUAUUUAUAACAUAUUUUUUAUCUCCUGAAAUUCCACACCAUUGAUUUAAUGUGUCUUACUGUUAAAGGUGUAUACAGUACAGACUAACCACAUGUGUUUUCCAUUUUUAGUUCUCUCUCUGAAAUACAACAGAACCUGAUGUCCUACCAUUCAUGUGACAUGUAUGGUAGGUUACUGUAAAUGUGACAUGGUAGGUUACUGUAAAUGUGACGUGUCUGGUAGGUUACUGUAAAUGUGACAUGGUAGGUUACUGUAAAUGUGACAUGUAUGGUAGGUUACUGUAAAUGUGACAUGUAUGGUAGGUUACUGUAAAUGUGACAUGUUUGGUAGGUUACUGUAAAUGUGACAUGUAUGGUAGGUUACUGUAAAUGUGACGUGUCUGGUAGGUUACUGUAUAUGUGACAUGUCUGGUAGGUUACUGUAAAUGUGACAUGUCUGGUAGGUUACUGUAAAUGUGACAUGUUUGGUAGGUUACUGUAAAUGUGACAUGUUUGGUAGGUUACUGUAAAUGUGACAUGUAUGGUAGGUUACUGUAAAUGUGACAUGUAUGGUAGGUUACUGUAAAUGUGACAUGUAUGGUAGGUUACUGGAAAUGUGACAAGUCUGGUAGGUUACUGUAAAUGUGACAUGUCUGGUAGGCUACUGUAAAUGUGACAUGUCUGGUAGGUUACUGUAAAUGUGACAUGUUUGGUAGGUUACUGUAAAUGUGACAUGUAUGGUAGGUUACUGUAAAUGUGACAUGUAUGGUAGGUUACUGUAAAUGUGACAUGUUUGGUAGGUUACUGUAAAUGUGACAUGUAUGGUAGGUUACUGUAAAUGUGACAUGUAUGGUAGGUUACUGUAAAUGUGACAUGUUUGGUAGGUUACUGUAAAUGUGACAUGGUAGGUUACUGUAAAUGUGACAUGUUUGGUAGGUUACUGUAUCUGGCAGGGUUCAAACCAUGUAUUACAAUACCCACAGCUCUUACAUUCUGAAGCACAACUCUUGUUUCAGAACGCUCGUUGUAAAUAGUGUCUCGUGUUACUGUACAUUUGAAUUAGGCUGACUUGAUCGUCUUUCCAUUGGUUUAGUGUCCAUUUAAACUGUCAUUUUGAAUUGUAUGACUGCAAGGUAUGUUUAGAUUUUUUUGUGUACGUAUGAUCGUGAGCACAUAUUGUGGUGCAGCACGAUAUACACUUGGAGAAUUUGUACAUUACAGGGCUAUUUUAACGGCAAUGGUUGAAAAAUAUAACAUUGCUCAGAAUAUCGCUCUAAUCUUGGGUUUUAUGCGGUUGAUUUAUUAAAAUAAAUGAUAUUCUGUUGCUGUAAAGGAACUGAUCUGCUGUUGAAUAUCUUCUGAUAAUGGUGGUUAACAAAAAGCUACAACAAACUUUUGGUCAAUUCAGGUUUUUCUUCUACUUUGUUCAUGUUCUUUUAAUGUGUACAUUAUUAUUAUUAUUAUUAUUAUUAUUAUAUAUUUUUUUUUGCGUUUGGUUAUGCUAUUACAUACAGACAGGAAAUCCAAGUUUGCUCACUUACAGGAGUGGUCAAAAGUAGUGCACUACAUAGGGAAUAGGAUGCCAUUUUGAACAAAAUGAGAGUAGAUUAAUAUGUUGUGUGUGUGUGGCAGGGAACAUAGGCCCUGUGGUGCAGGGUAGGUAACCCUGUUCCUGAAGGGCCUCAGGUACAGCAGGAUAUGGUUCCAACUACUCGCCACAUCUGACCAACUGAACCAAUUGAUCAGUUCAGUGAUUGCCUAAAUUCAUCACACCUGGUCUUCUAGGUUGGUUAAAUCCAAACAUGAAGUGCCUGCGUGAGGGUUGUGUUACCCUACUGUGGUGCUAUGAUAAAGGCCCUAUUCAGGAAGUGUCUCAUAAAUGGCUAAAACAGUCUUGUGACCGCUGACCUGGAUUCGAAUCCUAGUCGGUGACACCUUUCACACAGCACCAGGACCUGUAGUCUUAAAGCAUCUCACAGUAGGAGUGCUGAUUUAGAAUCAGUGUAUGCUUUCACAUCAUAAUAAGUAAGAUUACAGUAUAUGGACAGGAUCGAUCUGAUCCUAGAUCAGCACUUAUAUUCUAAGACGCUUUGUGAAUAUGGGCCCAGAGUUAAAUUAAUAGUUUCUUGGAUGUGGUAUUUCUGUAAAAAAAAUAAAAAAUAAUAAUCUGUAUUUGGGAAUAUUUUUGUACAAAUCUGAAUCGGUAAUGUACACAUCUUCAGUGUCAUUAAAACGUGUUCUAUUGUCUAUUUUAA